rnacentral:rRNA from 1 species
GACGAACGCUGGCGGCGUGCCUAAUACAUGCAAGUCGAACGAGAGCGACCGGUGCUUGCACUGGUCAAUCUAGUGGCGAACGGGUGAGUAACACGUGGGUAACCUGCCCAUCAGAGGGGGAUAACAUCCGGAAACGGAUGCUAAAACCGCAUAGGUCUUCGAGCCGCAUGGCUUGAAGAGGAAAAGAGGCGCAAGCUUCUGCUGAUGGAUGGACCCGCGGUGCAUUAGCUAGUUGGUGAGGUAACGGCUCACCAAGGCCGUGAUGCAUAGCCGACCUGAGAGGGCGAUCGGCCACAUUGGGACUGAGACACGGCCCAAACUCCUACGGGAGGCAGCAGUAGGGAAUCUUCCGCAAUGGACGCAAGUCUGACGGAGCAACGCCGCGUGAGUGAAGAAGGUUUUCGGAUUGUAAAACUCUGUUGUUAGAGAAGAACAAGUGCUAGAGUAACUGUUAGCGCCUUGACGGUAUCUAACCAGAAAGCCACGGCUAACUACGUGCCAGCAGCCGCGGUAAUACGUAGGUGGCAAGCGUUGUCCGGAUUUAUUGGGCGUAAAGCGAGCGCAGGCGGUUCCUUAAGCCUGAUGUGAAAGCCCCCGGCUCAACCGGGGAGGGUCAUUGGAAACUGGGGAACUUGAGUGCAGAAGAGGAGAGUGGAAUUCCAUGUGUAGCGGUGAAAUGCGUAGAUAUAUGGAGGAACACCAGUGGCGAAGGCGACUCUCUGGUCUGUAACUGACGCUGAGGCUCGAAAGCGUGGGUAGCAAACAGG